UAGCUAGUUGGUGAGGUAAAGGCUUACCAAGGCGACGAUCUGUAGCGGGUCUGAGAGGAUGAUCCGCCACACUGGAACUGAGACACGGUCCAGACUCCUACGGGAGGCAGCAGUGGGGAAUUUUGGACAAUGGGGGCAACCCUGAUCCAGCCAUGCCGCGUGAGUGAAGAAGGCCUUCGGGUUGUAAAGCUCUUUCGGCCGGGAAGAAAUCGCAUGGGCCAAUACCCUGUGUGGAUGACGGUACCGGAAUAAGAAGCACCGGCUAACUACGUGCCAGCAGCCGCGGUAAUACGUAGGGUGCGAGCGUUAAUCCGAAUUACUGGGCGUAAAGCGUGCGCAGGCGGUUUUGUAAGACAGGCGUGAAAUCCCCGGGCUUAACCUGGGAACUGCGUUUGUGACUGCAAGGCUAGAGUACGGCAGAGGGGGGUGGAAUUCCACGUGUAGCAGUGAAAUGCGUAGAGAUGUGGAGGAACACCAAUGGCGAAGGCAGCCCCCUGGGUCGAUACUGACGCUCAUGCACGAAAGCGUGGGUAGCAAACAGGAUUAGAUACCCUGGUAGUCCACGCCCUAAACUAUGUCAACUAGGUGUUGGGUGGGUAAAACCAUUUAGUACCGUAGCUAACGCGUGAAGUUGACCGCCUGGGGAGUACGGCCGCAAGGUUAAAACUCAAAGGAAUUGACGGGGACCCGCACAAGCGGUGGAUGAUGUGGAUUAAUUCGAUGCAACGCGAAAAACCUUACCUACCCUUGACAUGCCAGGAACUUGCCAGAGAUGGCUUGGUGCCCGAAAGGGAGCCUGGACACAGGUGCUGCAUGGCUGUCGUCAGCUCGUGUCUGAGAUGUUGGGUUAAGUCCCGCAACGAGCGCAACCCUUGUCGUUAAUUGCCAUCAUUUAGUUGGGCACUUUAACGAGACUGCCGGUGACAAACCGGAGGAAGGUGGGGAUGACGUCAAGUCCUCAUGGCCCUUAUGGGUAGGGCUUCACACGUCAUACAAUGGUCGGUACAAAGGGUUGCCAAGCCGCGAGGCGGAGCCAAUCCCAGAAAGCCGAUUGUAGUCCGGAUUGCAGGCUGCAACUCGCCUGCAUGAAGUCGGAAUCGCUAGUAAUCGUGGAUCAGCAUGUCACGGUGAAUACGUUCCCGGGUCUUGUACACACCGCCCGUCACACCAUGGGAGCGGGUUCCGCCAGAAGUAGGUAGCCUAACCGCAAGGGGGGCGCUUACCACGGCGGGGUUCGUGACUGGGGUGAAGUCGUAACAAGGUAGCCGUAGGGGAACCUGCGGCUG
rnacentral:rRNA from 1 species